GAGGAGGCCCUUUUCAGGGCCACUAUCAAAUAAAGAAAAUUAUUAU
rfam:Beta vulgaris subsp. vulgaris contig140647.1, whole genome shotgun sequence.